GGCAGAAGCCGCUCACAGUUCUCGGCCGGAAACAUUCACCGACCAUAUUUGAAAGUUAGGUUACUAUACCUCCGUUUAACUCCUCGCAACUUUACGGUUGCAAACUAGCACAUCCUGAAGGCUGGGGGAUGUAGAGAAAAGUCGUAAAUCACGUCAGCCUAAAAAAUACCAGGGCACGCGUCCACGGAGCAGCUUCGAAGCGAUGAUGAUUUUAGAACCUGCCAGUAGCCGGGUCAGAGGAACACACGCAGAAGGAAACACGCACUGAAUCGGUAUCCUCAGGGCCAAGCAAACGCCGACGCCUUAACGAUGCAGGCUCUCUUCCUCCUUCCUUGGACGACUUGGAAAAGCACCGGAGUUUCACACAGGAGCCUCGCCAGGCUUCAUAGAUGGGCAGUGCGGAUUUGCAAUCGGAACGCCCGUGAGAAGCAUGCAUUUUAUUUUCCAGUGGCUCUCAAGACUCCUAGAUGGAGCGUUUCCCCCCAGGGGCAGGUGAUCCUGGGGUUACAGGCGUGCACCAGGGGUCAGCGUUUGGGUCUCUGUGCCAGAGACAGGCAGGCUGCUCUUCCCGGAAGGGCUGCAGAGACCCUGGGAACCGGACCAGCCCAGCUCACAAGAAUGCAGAGAAUGUCGGGAGAGGAAGUGGUGGCUGUGAGUCAGCAUGAAUCAUCUCGUUCCAAUGAGGUGUGCGCCUUUUUUUUUUUUUUUUUUUUUUGGUCUUGAUUGUGUGGACAUCGUUGGAAAUGGAGGGAACUAAGUGACUGGAUGGCUGCUGCUUUUUAAGUUUCCAAGGGACAUUGCUGACAUAGAUUGCCGGAGCUGGUGCAUGUCUUCGGAUCUCCACAGCACCAGCACCGUUCCUGGCAAGGUGGAGCCCCCAGCUUCUCCCUGAAUAACUGGGAGAUGAAACAGGAAGCCCUAUGACACACUUGAUCGAAAAUGACAGACACAGGAAAAUCAGGACUCAGCCCCCUCCAGUACCUCCACCUGCUGCCUGCUCAUGACGGCCAGAGUAUGACAGCCAAGUGAGGAGGAGGAGGAAGAGGAAGAGAGCAGCCUCCAGCGUCUUUCCCGUUCUGCAUGAUCCAGAUGCACAGGAGGGGAGGAGCAGGCUGCUCUGCACCACAGAUUCCAUGGAGUUUUCCUUGAACAUCCACGCCCGGAGUCAACAAGGAAGCCACUCGGUGGGUAACUCUGACAGCCCCAAGUGAUGGCCCCAAAGGGGAUCCAAAUCAGAAUUUGAAGACAGAAUUCGUGGUGUAAUGUUUCAUGGUAAAUUCCUAGAUGAUUCACAAUGAUUCCCAUCGCGGUUAGUAGCACCAUGCCUGGGAAGGGUCUCUGUCCUGGAGGUGAUGUCUGAGUGCCUACAGAGAGCCACAUCUGGCCCUCAGGAAUGUCUCCAUCCUGCCGCCUCCCCGGGGAAGCUCCGGGGCGAUGAUGCUCUCUCAAGAGCUUGCUCCGAGCUCAUUUAAUAUCCAUCAGGUGUGACACGCAUUAAUCUGCUGGUCAAUUGUUAGUGCUUGUUUGAAGGGAGAUGUGGAAAUUCCUCACCCUGCGAUCAUUCCAUUUGGACUCACAGCCUUGUGAAAAAGCAGACAGAAAUGUUUAUGUGGGAUGUGGGGCAUUGUUUGUUUGUUUGUUUCUAGAUUGGUUUUGUCUUUGUGGUACUUGAGCAAACUUGAAGUUCAUCUUUUUAAAAGAUAUGUUUAUUUAAUUAUGUAUUAGAAAGGCAGAGUGAUAAAAGAGAGGGAGAGACAGAGAAAUCUUCCAUCUGCUGGUUUCCUCCCCAAAUGGCUGCAACGGCCAAGAUGAGACUAGGCUGAAGCCAGGAGGCAAGAACUCCAUCUGGGCCUCCCAUGUGGGUGACAGGGGCCCACGCGCUUGGCGCCAUCUUCCACUGCCUUUCCAGGUGCAUUAGCAGGGAGCUGCGUCAGAAGCGGAGCAGCCAGGACACGAAUCGGCCCCCACAUGGGGUUGCCUGCAUUGCAAGCAGUGACUUAACCUGCCACGCCUCCACACCAGCCCAAGUUAAUGAGUUUAAUGGCUGCUUACACGUCUUGAUGAGAUCACCGUAAGUUUCUAUGGAGCUUUGUAGCUUUCAACAGCCAAGCUCCCAGCUAGCUUCUGCUUGCACUGAGGGAGUUCCGUGGGUGUGGAUGGCCUCGGCUCUCCCUGCGAGGCCUCGGAAGGCAUUUGUGAUAAAAACAGACCCACUGCCUGGGGAGGGAGCUGCCUGGCCCUUAGAAGGUCUUCCAGGAACACACAGAGGAGGAGGACCCCGGAUGGAAGGUUAGAUGAAGACGUCCUCUGCUCUCAGGACCCCACCCCUGCUGCUUCACCCUGCACCACCACCCUGCUACCAGCACCAGGAGUGAGAGCCAAGUUUACUCCCCAGAGGGUCUCCACUAAUCCCUCAGCUCAGGGCCCUCAGAGAGCGAUGCCCUCCGCGUGUCCAUUCCUACAGCCCCAAUGCUAUGGCAGUGGUGGGAGGGUGGUCGGGGAGAGAGGUCACCUCCGUCCCAGUACCCCUGGCCCCGGAGGUGAGGGGGUGGAGAAACGGUGAGUAGGGAAUGAGGGGGCCAGUUUGUCAGGAUCCGAGUGGCCUCCUCCUGCCUCUCUGGGGCCCGGUCGACCCAGGCUGCUCUGCAGGACGUGGUGUUCCGGCAUUCUGGGCCACCUCUUGGCCCUGUUCCUGGGAUACCAAGUAAUUAGGUCAUGGGCAGGGGAGCCGGGGCCAGCCUCCGAUGCGGACACUGUGUCAACGCGUGUCCUCCUGGGACCGCACGCUGCCUGUGCCUUGCACAGGUGUGUUUGUGCUUGCUGCUCUCAUUGUCAAACCUGAGCAGUCCUGGGGGACUCUGUGAACUGGAAUUGAAAGAUAAGCUUGUUUUUUUUGUACAGCAAACUUGGACAACACACGCAUAUGAAAGGUGUGCAAAAAGUUUGUGUGUAUGGAAAAGCUAUGCAUGGAUUUCAAAAGUCUUUGCAGCAGAAUCGCCCCAUCCUUUGGCUUCUUUGUCUACAAACUUUCUGGAGUCCUCCUGUAUGGUAUUUAGAGGUCAUAGAUAAGAAGGAAGUUUAUAAAGAAAAGCAAGAACGGCUGACAUACAGAUCGUGAGCGUUAUUGUCGCGGCGAGGUGGGAAGGGAGACACCCUGGAGACAGACCACAGGAGCCUUCUGUAAGGUGCUGCUUGUAGCCUAGAGUGUGGAUAUUCUAGUGUUCCUUUUGUGAUUGUCCUUUAAGGUGCUCACGUGCACGUUACACACUCUCGGCCGGCCGUGCAGUCCAUGUCAUCACGCGCAAGGCCGGUUUCACAGUCGGGUCCCUUUCCGGAUGCUCUUCUGCCCCAACCAGCUCUGUCCCCCUGCCUGCAGCCCCACUGUGCCUGCGCCUGCGGGGAGGCCCCAGUCUGCCCCUGCCGCAGCCUCCCCCGCCCUCCUUAGGGCACAGCGCCUGCAGCUCCUCUCACCUGCGGCCACCUGCCGGCCCUCCACUGCCCUCUGCCCUCCCAGCCUGUUCAGCCCAACGGGGAAAUGAGAAACAGAACGUGCUAGAAUUUGGCUCUAGCUCCAUCCUGCGUUCUUACCGCGCCGGUAAGUCUGGAGAGGAGGACCUGUGUGCUUUCGGUAUAGUGCAAUUCUUUUUCUCCCCUAAAAAAAUAUUUAUUUUACUUACUUUAAAGGGAGAGAGUAGACUGGUGCUGUGGCAUAGGUUAAGCCUCCACCUGCCAUGCCAACAUUCCUUACAGGCACCAGUUCGAGUCCCGGCUGCUCCACUUCCCAUCUAGCUCCCUGCUAAUGUACCUGAGAAAGCAGUGGAAGAUGGCCCAAAUCCUUGGGCCCCUGCACCUACGUGGAAGAACUGAGAGAAGCUCCUGGCUGCUGGCUUCGGCCUGGCCCAGCCCUGGCUGUUGUGGCUAUUUGGGGAAUGAAACUGUGGAUGGAAGAUCUCUCUCUCUCUCCUCCCCCUUCUCUCUCUAUGUCUCUGCCUUUUAAAUAAAAUAAAAUAAAUCAUUUUUGGCCGGCGCCGUGGCUCAAUAGGCUAAUCCUCUGCCUUGUGGCGCCGGCACACCGGGUUCUAGUCCCGGUCGGGGCACCGAUCCUGUCCCGGUUGCCCCUCUUCCAGGCCAGCUCUCUGCUGUGGCCAGGGAGGGCAGUGGAGGAUGGCCCAAGUGCUUGGGCCCUGCACCCCAUGGGAGACCAGGAGAAGCACCUGGCUCCUGCCAUCGGAUCAGCGUGGUGCGCCGGCCGCAGCACACCAACCGCGGCGGCCAUUGGAGGGUGAACCAACGGCAAAGGAAGACCUUUCUCUCUGUCUCUCUCUCACUGUCCACUCUGCCUGUCAAAAACUUAAAAAAAAAAAAUCAUUUUUAAAAGGGAGAGAGGGAGACAGAGAGAAACAGAUUCCAUCCACAGGUUCACUCCCCAAACACUUGUAUCAGCUGGACUGGGCCCAGCGAGAGUUAGCAGUGGGGAACACAGUCUGGGUGUCUCACACCCUGAGUAUAGGGUACCCUGCUGCCUCCCAGGGUACACAUUAGCAGAGGGCUGGGAUGGGGGAAGAGCUGGGACUUGAACCCAGGCACCCCUGAGACGGGACUUGGGCGCAUCAAGCAGAGUCCUGAUGGCUUCAGCAGCUGCCCGCCCACAUGUCUCUUUCUUCAGUGCACAGGGUGCCAUGCGACAGUCUCACGCGGUGGCCUCUCUGUCUCAGCUCCCUGCUUGAUGGGCCGCACAGAGCACUCUUCUCUCUCUGCUUUCCCUGGCGGGGCUUCCUUUUCCCCAGUGCCCAAGACCCUCCUCGCUCUUGCGCCCUAACCCUCAAGCCGUCCUCGCACCACCUUCCAGCCACAGCUUUUGCCCAUCAUCCUCUCCAUGGGGCUCUCUGCCCUGUGUCUCUGUGGCUUCACUUUCCCCCCACGCGCCUUCCACGAGAGUCCACAGCAUCUUCCCGCAAACAGAUCGAGGUCAGGGAAGAAUCCUGGUGGAUGCAGGGCCAACCUGCCUCCUCUGCCUCUGCAUGGCUGGACGCCAAGGGUGCUUCAUGGCUCCUUGGGCCCCGAAGCUGCUGUGGACCCUGACACAAGCUUUCCCUGGAGCACUGCUUGCUAGAAGGUAGAUGCACUGAACCAAACCAACACCAACGUAAUCAUGCCUGCGGCGGCAGAUGGAGGGCUUGAGAUCUGUGCUGAGGAUCCCAACCAGGCAGGAGAGGCAGGGGCUACCCACACAAGCUUGUUCUCCCAGGCCGUCCCUGCCCCCCUCCUCCCUGGGCGAUAGCACAAUACAGCCCCUUUUCAGAUGGGCCUGGGGGCAAAGCCUACCCCUGCCACUUUUGAACUGUGUGAUCUUGGGCUGACCGAUUAGAUCCUCUGGGCCUUGGUUUCUUAGAGCCUGGGAUAAGGGUGAGCAUCUCUGCUUCACACGGUGCAUGGCAGGGGUGACAGGGCUUACUCGGGACAGGGGGCAGAGGGUCCGCUGGCUCAGCACACAUGCUCAGAGCGUGCUGGCUCCUGUCCACCUCCUCCCACCUUCCCUUCCUCUUGGCCUCCAGAGCCCUUGCUCCUGGGGUGUAACUUCACCUCUCAAAGAGCAGCACAAAUGAUCCAGAGUCUCCCUCAUGCCCACGGCCCCAAUCCCACACCCAGGGGCCCCAGUGGUCUGGCAGAGACUCCCCAGGGGAGUACUCUAUCCAGCACCCUGAUGGAGGUCUGAAACCACAGCAGAUAGGGGCCAGGAGGCCACGGAGCCAGAGCCCUUGACUUUGCAAAGCCACUUGAGAAGUCCAUUAAAGCCAUGGAAGCCUUCACGGGAACAGUCGAAGAGAAGCCGGGUCGAUCUUAGAAGCUUAGUUAAAAAGAAAAUGGUGUGGUAUGAAGAAAAGAGAGCCCCGCUGGCUGAGGAGCACUGGGAUCCUGGCCAAGCGCCGGCCGGGGCCUCGUCCUGCUGACCGCUGAGCCCAGUGCACAUGGCCAGCACACUGUUGGCAGGUGCACCUCCGCGGCAGCAUGGAGAAAGAGUGCCAGAUUUAAUUCCUUCAUCUCGGUUUUGCACAAACCUUGAGAGGACAGAAAGGGUUUGUUUUGCCUGAAAAGGCUUGAAGCAGACAAACAGAAGUAGGCAGCGCCCUCUUAUCUGUGUUUUUGGUUUCCCUGGUUUCAGCCACUCUUGGUCAACUGCGGUCUAGAAGUACUGAAUGGAAAGUUCCAGAAAUAAAUAAUUCAUAACUUUUAUUACAGUGUAUUGUUAUGGUUGUUCCAGUUGCUAUUGUUCAUUUCUUGCUGUGCUGUAUUUACAAAUUAAACUAUCACAGGUAGGUAUGUACAGGGAAAGACAUAGUGUGUAUGGGGUUCUGUAGUCUCCAUAGCUUGAGGCAUCCACUGGGGGUCUUGGCAAGUAUCCCCUAAGGAUAAGGGGGACCACCGUACACCCCGAAGAGAGUGU